rnacentral:tRNA from 2 species
GGGGUUUUAGCUCAGUUGGUUAGAGUACCUGCCUGUCACGCAGGGGGCCGCGGGUUCAAGUCCCGUAAACCCCG